rnacentral:tRNA from 2 species
GCCUUCGUAGCUCAGGGGAUAGAGCACCGCUCUCCUAAAGCGGGUGUCGCAGGUUCGAAUCCUGCCGGGGGCACGA